AAUAGCCCCCCGCCUCAAAGGACAGAGGAGCUGAGUGGAUUCACUUCAUUUUAAAUGGAAAUAACCCCACAACUGGAAAACUCUGACGUGUGUGAAAACUACUGCAGGCUGCUUUCCUGUGGCAGUACAAAGAAGGUUCAAUGAAGAUCAAGGAUUGAUUGAUGCUCACUUCAAACUUGGAAGCUGCCAACAUACAACUACAAGACCGACCCUGCAGACACCACCACAUCUUUGACAAAGUUGACAAACAUGUUUAAUAUUAUUUUCAGGCUCAGUGGCAGUCAGUCCUGUCUCUCGGACAGUCUUAAGUGAUGUGGAGAUGCUCAGCCAUCACUACUGAGGCCUUCAACAGUGUAAUCCUGUCAUUCUGCAUAAAAGCAUGGUAGGUGCAACUACUGACAAUAUUCAAAGAAACAGAGAACAUGACCAUGUUCAAAUAAAACAGGAAAAAUACUUUUAGUGCUCAAAAUAAUUCACAUGCCUACACUAAAAUAAACAUACUAAUAAAUGUUUC
rnacentral:lncRNA from 1 species